UGAAGGUCAAAGCCUGGCUUGACUCCAUCCAGUUUAAGUUGGGUCCUGUCUGCAUGCUGCUUGGACCAGGCUGCUCAGUGUUGUGAGAGGAAUCCCUGAAAGAGAGGAGCCACAAAGAGAGAACUUCGGUAGGGACCAAGCAACUUUGUACUUCAUCCUGCCAGCUCGCCUCUGCAGCCUUGGAGCAUGUCACAACCUGGGCAAAUUCUGUAGACAGCCUGGAGACCAACACAGCUCCCUCCGACCUUCUGGGAGCUUACUGUAGCGAUGUAACCCCAAGGUGGAAAGUGCAAAAUGUCCUUGGAAAAAGGCCGUUUUCACAUUCCUCCUGAAAACGGAGGGUUUCAGGGGGCUGCCCUUCCUUCCCAUCUUCUUAUGGUGUUUGAGCACCAACAGCUGUUGACCAGAGGGCUGAAGACUCAAUGAAAUGUCCAGGAGCACACUGUCCACCCCAGAAAUACUUAGUGAUCACACCAGAGGCUGGCUAUGUGAUGCGUUCCCUGCUUUACCACUGUCUAGUCUGGGCAGAGCUGAUCUGACUUGCUUUAAUGGUGAACCCAGAGCCCUUGGCUGCUGUGGAUGAUGCUGGAAGUUGACAAGCUAUGGCUAAUGUGGCGGGAGGGAAAAGCCACUUCAUUUUCUCUGCAUUUGUAGAGAAACAAAUGGCUGCAGGUACAAGUGAUCAUUGUCUUCAGCUACACCUUGUGCUGUGGGGCCAGGGCAGUCUGCCGACAGGAUGUUACGAUGCUCUGGACAUCCUGGGGACUGAUGGGGCUGCUCCUCUUCCACAUCCUCAGGUCUCACCAGUGCGCAGCUUCCUCUGCCAGGUAGGUAAUGGCAGCUUUCUGCAGGAGCUGCACCACCUGUGGCUCUUUGUCCUGCUGGAGUUGCAGAGCAAACGUGGACCCAUGAGGUUGUUUUGCCCUAGGUGGGCUUCUCCGUGUGUUCCUGUGGGAUCAGAGUGCUGGUUUGGGGUCAGUCUGGAGGGAAGGGCACCGUCCUUUUGUGUCCCCGAUGGCACAGCACAAAUCCACCUCUGUGUGUGAUGCUGCUGAAGCAUCCCUCUCCCUGUCAUGAAAUAUUCAUGCCUUUCUCAAAACAGGCUCCGGCACAGCAGAUCUGCACGGCCCUCCCCUCCCCUGCCCCCUUCACACCCCGGCAAUCUGUGCUGCAGAGAGGGUGGCUGUGGGCUCUGCUGUGAGGUCAAGCCAGAUCCAGGCAGCUGAUCUCUGCGUCUUUGAGGAAGUAAAACAGCAGAAAAGAAGUAGAAAAACCCCGGGAGGUGCUUUUGAGCAUUAACCCCUUCUGUGCAGGGAAGCACCAACAGGAGCAGAGUACAAUGAGCAGUCACGGGAGAAUAAGAUGCAGAGAGCAGCAGGGAUGAAGCAGUCCUUUGUGAAGCUGGGAAGAGGGCUCCCAAACCUGGGAAUUCUGCUGGAGUGCUCAGGCCCUGGUGCCUUGGAUGGAUAGGUGUGAGUCUAUCUCAUGCGAGUUACUCUGCUUCUCUGGCUUUCCUGAAAGCUUCCUCGAUUUCACUGUAUUUGUUCUGCAAGGUGAGAGUCCUUGCUAGGAUGUAACGGAGAAGUGUUCUGUUUCCCCCGUGGGUAGAAGAGAAUAAAUCUUGAACCUUGG